GAUGAACGCUGGCGGCGUGCCUAAUACAUGCCAGUCGAGCGAACAGACGAGGAGCUUGCUCCUCUGACGUUAGCGGCGGACGGGUGAGUAACACGUGGAUAACCUACCUAUAAGACUGGGAUAACUUCGGGAAACCGGAGCUAAUACCGGAUAAUAUAUUGAACCGCAUGGUUCAAUAGUGAAAGACGGUUUUGCUGUCACUUAUAGAUGGAUCCGCGCCGCAUUAGCUAGUUGGUAAGGUAACGGCUUACCAAGGCAACGAUGCGUAGCCGACCUGAGAGGGUGAUCGGCCACACUGGAACUGAGACACGGUCCAGACUCCUACGGGAGGCAGUAGUAGGGAAUCUUCCGCAAUGGGCGAAAGCCUGACGGAGCAACGCCGCGUGAGUGAUGAAGGUCUUCGGAUCGUAAAACUCUGUUAUUAGGGAAGAACAAAUGUGUAAGUAACUAUGCACGUCUUGACGGUACCUAAUCAGAAAGCCACGGCUAACUACGUG
rnacentral:rRNA from 1 species